GGAAGGACAGGGAGCACGAUCCUGACUGGCAGAAGCUUUCCACAGCAACCGUGUGAAGCGUCUGUAACAAACCGUGCACGUCAAGACUGGGCCUGUUCAGUCAUCACCGCCCUCCACCAUCCUGUCCGGGAAUCAAUAAAAAGACUAUCUUCCUCACCAUGGAGGGAUAGCCACAACGACGACUCAGUGAUUUCCGAGAACAGUUCCACGUAUCUACUGUGGUUGCUGUUGUGUCCCAAGGUUCUUGAAAUGGUCUAUCUCCACCUGGUGGACAUUUACCAUUAAUGGAAGUACAAUACAGUUUGACCAAGUGCUACAGUGUAUAUAUAGUACCUAAAAGUUUACAGUUAAUCACCAGGAUAUAGGCAAACUUUUUUUUUUAAUGCCAGUUUUGGAUUGAUGACUUCCUCUUCAUCCAACAGCCUUUCAGGUCAUGGUGAUGGAGCAGCUCUCUUAAAGGGGCAAUGUCACAUCUCUACGUGGUGCCUCCAACUCCAUUACUAAUUUGUGAUCCUGAGGUCAUAGUUGACCUUUAGAACAAACACAAGUUUAAUUCUCAGGUGUUAAUCUGGACCUCUGUCAAUGAUGUAAAGUGAACCUUCUUACAACAAUCUUCACUUUCAUCACAUAUAUACACAUACCAUGAAUUUUAUUGUGAUGGCUCCAAAAGAGUAAUCUGACAUGGAGGGCAAAAAGGAAACCUACCUGAAUGACUUAGGAGCUUCAGUGAUUUUGAGUUUACAUUCAACUCAGAUCAUUUAAAACACUUUUUGUAUCCAUAAGGGUGCAAAAAAAAAAAAA